UUAGUGAAGGCUAUUUUAAUU
rnacentral:miRNA from 1 species